GGUGAACGCUGGCGGUAGGCUUAACACAUGCAAGUCGAACGGUAAGACCCUUUCGGCUUGCCAUUAGGGGCGCACGGUGGAGGAAGGGGGGGGUAACCUUCGCACUUCUCUUUUAUGAGGGGCGUAAAGUGGGGCUAAUACCGGAAAUGCGCUUUCCAACCAUCGGGUGAAUGCGGGGGAUUUUUGUUCUUUGGGGAUUUAAUUGCGCCGAUGUCUGUUUAGCUAGUUGGCGGGGUAAAGGCACCCCAAGGCGACGAUCCGUACCUGGUCUGAGAGGAUGAGCAGGCACACUGGAGCUGAGACACGGUCCAGACUCCUACGGGAGGCAGCAGUGGGGAAUAGUGGACAAGGGGCGCAUGCCGGAUCCAGCCAGACCGCGUGAGUGAAGAAGGCCUUCGGGUUGUAGAGCCCUUUUGUUGGGAAAGAAAAGCAGCAUGGUAACACCCCGCUGUUCUGACGGUACCCAAAGAAGAAGCACCGGCUAACUUCGUG
rnacentral:rRNA from 1 species